rnacentral:rRNA from 1 species
AGCGGCGCACGGGUGAGUAACACGUAGGUAACCUUCCCUCGAGCCUGGGAUAACCCGCCGAAAGGCGGGCUAAUACCGGAUAUGACCACGGGAGUUUCGGCUCUUGCGGUGAAAGAUGGCCUCUGCUUGCAAGCCAUCACCCGAGGAUGGGCCUGCGCGCCAUUAGCUAGUUGGUGGGGUAAUGGCUCACCAAGGCUAUGAUGGCUAGCUGGUCUGAGAGGAUGGCCAGCCACACUGGGACUGCAACACGGCCCAGACUCCUACGGGAGGCAGCAGUGGGGGAUAUUGCGCAAUGGGCGAAAGCCUGACGCAGCGACGCCGCGUGGGUGAUGAAGGCCUUCGGGUCGUAAAGCCCUGUCGAGGGGGAAGAAACAGCAGCGACCUAAUACGUCGUUGCCUUGACGGUACCCCUAAAGGAAGCACCGGCUAACUCCGUGCCAGCAGCCGCGGUAAUACGGAGGGUGCAAGCGUUGUUCGGAAUCACUGGGCGUAAAGCGCGUGUAGGCGGUCUGCUAAGUCUGAUGUGAAAGCCCGGGGCUCACCCCCGGAAGUGCAUUGGAAACUGGCAGACUGGAGUCCCGGAGAGGAGGGUGGAAUUCCUGGUGUAGCGGUGAAAUGCGUAGAUAUCAGGAGGAACACCGGUGGCGAAGGCGGCCCUCUGGACGGUGACUGACGCUGAGACGCGAAAGCGUGGGGAGCAAACAGGAUUAGAUACCCUGGUAGUCCACGCUGUAAACGGUGAGCACUAG